AUUAAAUGAAUUCUGAUUUCUUAAUUGACACAGUCUAUUUAAAAGAUUACUUAAUACUAGAUUUCUGUAAGUCAUUAUUUUCAUGCUGUAGAGCUUUAGAAACAGGAUUAAUAUUUUCAAAUAGUGAGGGGGGAGACAACUUUUUGUGACGGACGGAUGGACACACCGAAAUUAAAAGAUUUCCUUGUUUAUCACUACGGACCCCUAAUAAAUGGGUUGGGUAGUACUUACCUUUCCAAUCUAAAUCACUCACAGCAUCUUGUCUCUGAAAAAAUAAAGAAAUUGUGGGCACUUUUUUUAUAACCUCGUCCCUUUUCUGUUAAUUUUUCUUUUCUCAGCGCCGGUGAAUUACAAUGUAAUGCACAUUUAUAUAAUAUAAAGCGCGUAAAUAAAAAGUGCACUGCACUCCGUGGUUUAACAUCCAAUGCAAAGUACAACAACGUACACGUACAUCGCGAUAUCGAUGAAGGAUUCCCGGGGACUCCCCGCGGGGAAAAAAGGAAUUGCUUUAUAGAAUUUUGUCAUUUGUAAAAUAAAAUAAAUUAGAUAGUUUUUAUUCUUUUCUUGCACACAUUGGGGGCCCCCGUGGCCCGGGGGCCUCGUAUAAUUGAUACGGCAAAUACGGCGGUAGCUACGCCCCUGAGUAUUCUAUAUAUAAAUAUCAGAUAGCUGCAACGAGUAUAAAAUCAGAACAAACAGUCGUGCCAAAAACACAAUCAAAUCAAUUCAGUUCAGCAUAGACAACAUUGUUUUUGUUUUCGGAUCGUUGUACUCGCUAUCGAAUACGCAUUUGAAAUUUCCUCAUUCGAAACGUGUUCUCGUUUGUACGAAAGAAUCGAAGAUACACUCGUUAGCUAUUUGAGAAACGUUAUAGUACAAAAAAAUUAAUAUAUCAGUUAAAAUAAUCGGAGGCAAAACCAUCAGGACUUGGCAAAGGGGGAAGGCAAAGUUGCGGCAAAUAAGCAAUGGGAUGCAUUGACGCUAAAAGUUAACGCUGCCGGGCCACCGAUGAAAAAUGCCAAUUCUUGGAAAAAAGUAUAAGCAGCAGAAGAGCAACUCCUCCAAGCUACGGAGAUAAAUGUUGCAGUAGAAGGGUUGACAAUAGUUAAAUCUUUUGGAACUGUAGUGCCAGAAGAAGGUUUAAAUGAGUUGGUAGAGGUGAUUAUUAAUAGCGAGGAAGAAGAAGAAGCCUACUGUUGAAAGCGAAAAGCUUUCUCUUUUGAAAUCCAAUUUUCGCGCAUAUGAAAGAACGCAAGCCCAAAUCAAUAAAAAUAUUGAGAAACUAAUUACUUUAAAGGAGAGAUCGCUGCAAAUAAAAGAAGAGGCAUAUACAGCAGAUAUGCAAAAAAAGCUGUCGAGUUGCGGAUUAAAAUUUAUGAGCUUGAUAUUUUAAAGAGAAAAGUUCAGAAAUAAACACCAAUAUAUACGAUAUGUUAAUUCCAAGUUACUGUUUUUAUUGAAAAUAUAUUUAUUAAAGCAAAAUAUGAAUUCAACUGUUGUUGGAACAUUUAGUUCAAUUAUUAUCUAAAGACAACAUAAUAUGCUCUCUAAUUUGAUGACCAAUUUUAGUUAAUUGAAUCUCAUUUUCCGUAUCUAUUUCUGUAUCAUUGUUUUCGUUCACAAAAUAUUUGCAAUUUUGAUCUGAUUUUUAAAUUGUAUUACUAUAUCGACUUCAUGUAUCAUUACUGAGAAUUUUCCACCGGUCUUUCAGUAUACCAAUGGUUCGUUCAGCAAGAAGCGUGCUUGGCAAGAGCCAAGUUCGGCGUUUCUAAAUAGUGUCAAACACCAUGGUUCCAAAGGAUAUCCAGAAUGUCCUGUUAAUUGAGCAAAUACGUAUGUAAAUAUGUCUGUAAAUAUAUUUUACAGUUGAAUAAGUGCAUUUAUUACCCAAAAGCCAGAUGUUUCUCAUAUUGUUUUGAUUAUAUGCUUAGGGUUAAUUUUUUUUGCCUGCAAAAACUAAAUUUGGUAAAUUUAUAUAUAAACGUAUAAAAAAUUUUAAUAUUUACGUUCAAUUCUAAUUCAAAAACUUUUUUCUUUUGUUUUGUUUCGUAUUUUAUCUUAUUCGAAAAUGUCAUUUAGAGCUACACCAGGGAAGUUAAUUCAUACAAUUUCUAUGACGAUCUGCACCCUCGACACGUUACGCAAUUUCACUGUUCUUCGGCAAUCACGUUCGAGUAAAUGGUAUGGCUGGCUUCAGUUCGAAUCGUAUCAUGUCAGUUCAUAGCGUUGCGACGAUUGUUUGAAUGGAUGUAAAACUUAGGGUAAAUUAUAAGUAAAUUUGCCAGUAAAUCCAUGAGUACAGCAAACAACAACAAUUUUCUGCUGGACUUUCAUUCCGAAAACAUACAUAAAUGAAUUAAACCUGGAUACAACUGGAAAUGCAUAUUCCAACAAAGGUGACUAAGCAAAUAGAAUUAGAAAAAGUUUUUUAGUUUUUUUUGAGAUAAGUUCAUAGUGGGUAUAAUUAUUGUAUCCGUUUCGAUCGAUCGUUGAAAUCAUUGAAAUCGUAUCGAAAAUGAAGUUUUCGAUGCAAUUGAGAUUACUUCCCGACUCGAAUAAAUGGCGCUAAUUUCGGAAUCAUUGAAGCCGCAAAAUGGAAUCGACGAAAUCUAUCCGUUGAUGAUUUGUAAGUAUUUAUGUAUGUAAAAAAAUGUGCGUGGUUCAGCUUCUGGCAAUGAGAAAUUUACAUUGAAAUCUCCCGCAAGGAGUACCGGUUGUUCGCUACACUCUACUGGUUCUCCUAUAAUAUCUGCAAAAGCUUGCGAACCUGCUGUUUACAACGGUCAUAAAACUUUACCGAUGAAAAAUUUUAUAUCUCUCAUCGAUGAAUUUUGUGAUAUAUAAAUGGCAAUUAAAUUCAAUUUUUUACUAUUAUGAUUAUCGCUAGGGUUCAUUUUGCAUUCUACCGCACACAAAUCGCCAAUUCUUGUUGAUGUUGAUAUCGUCACAUCAGCAUCACUCGCGUACGGAGCCCUUAUAUCCAAAUGAGGAGUGAGAAUAUGGCAUUUGUCUUGCUCAUUUCCUUUUUUCAUUUCGUUGAAAUCUUACAACGAAAUCAAAAUUUGGUACGGAUACAGGAGGCUCGUUGUCGUUUAUAAAUGUUUCUGAUAACAUCAUGAUGUUUGACUAUUUAAACACUCUAACUGAGAAAUCAUCAACAUGAGCACGAAGACUUUGACAAUUGAAUGAUAUUAUUGAUAAACAUUUUCUUGUGCUAAGAAACUCGAAUAAUUCUUUUUCUAAGGUGAUAAUUGGAUCUUGUCGUAAUUUUAUCAUUUCAUCUCGCAAAGCGCGACAUGACCUUUCAUUGCUUAAUGCCAUGAUAGAAUUUUUUCUGUUUGUUCACUGGAAGUUUACAUUACUUCUUUAAUGGCAACAGCUCUUGACAGUGCGAUAUAAACUAACUGUUGAGAUUGAACUUUUUCAUAAUAGUAAACAAUUUCAUUCAAGUUCUUCCUUGCGACUUGUGAAUUGCCAACCCACAAGACUGACUACAGAAAUGAUCUUGUGAAGUAUAGUCUUAACUUUUCAACGGCCAACGCAGAGUAUUUAACAAAAAGUCACACAAAGAAUUCGCAGAAAUGAAACAGAAGCAAAAGAAAUAAAGUCACAAAAAAUAGUUGAGAAUUCGCAGAAAUGAAAGACAAACGAAAGAAAAAUAAUGCGCAAGCAUAUAAACAUAUAUAAGCGCACUGUACUUAUUGACUGCAUUAUUUUUGUGUAAAACCUUGGAAUUUAUUCAUUAAAAUCACCAUUCAGAAGUCGUUUUAUCCGUUGUAAGCGAGCGAUUUUCGAAGAAACAUCAUUUCUAAUAUGCCACAAGACAAAAUUAGAAAUGAAGUUCAUAAACCUCACGAUGUCAGAUAAAACGGUAUACCUCGUCAUCGCGGGUCGAUUUCCAAAAUAUGUAAAUGAAGACUAACUACAGAAAUGAUGCUGUGAAGUAUAGCCUUAAUUUUUCAAAGGCCAACGCAGAGUAUUUCAACCAAAAGUCACACAAAAUAGUUGAGAAUUCGCAGAAAUGAAAGACAAACGAAAGAAAAAGAAGUAUAACUUCAAUAAUGCUCAAGCAUACAAAUAUACAUAUGCGCACACAUGUGAAUAUGUCACCAACCCAAAAUUGAAACAUUGUUCUACAAAAACAACAAUAGCAUAAGCAUGGCAACAUUGUGUUGUUGGUAGAAAAGCCGAGCUGUGCCGAAAGAAACGAUCUCCGAUUGUCGCCGCUUCCCUUGCUACUCGAACAUCUUCGCAGGCAAGAUUGCGCAACAUGAAUCUAUCGCAACCUUUUCCGAACUCGUAUAAGAAGUAUAACUUCAAAAAUAGCUGAAUUAAAUUAUGUUUUAAAUGUGUGAUUUAGAGACAAGAAAUAAAAACACACCAACAAAAAUCAAUUUGAAUUACUAGCGGAUAUAAUGAAGUUGCACCCAGACAUAUGUACAUAUGUAGCUAAAGGAUUUCAUCAAAGAGCACCCGCAGAAAUAAAUACUUUUUGGGAAGACACCUCAGAAAAGUUAAACGCUAUAAAAAAACAUCACGCGUUUAUAUUAUUGGUUCAUUUAUAGGUUUGGGCUGAUCUGAAAUUUGCAGUUAAAAGAGAAAUGAUUAAAAAUACAAAGCAAAUUUCUGGAACAGGAGGUGGGCCCUUCAACCAAGUAAAUUUAAGUUCCCUCGAAGAAGAUGUCAGCGCUAUACUUUCCCUUAAUACAUCAGUAGUGGGACUGUGAUGGAAAAAAUAUCAAUUGAUAAAUUAGAAACCAAAAAACAAAUUUUAUAACUUGAACUACAACAUAUAAAUAAGCCAUACGUUUUUAUUUUUAAUUUAUAAUAAUUCAUUUAAUGAAUUUUUUUUUUUUUAAUAUGAAUACAUACUAUGAACUUAUAUUAAAAGAAGUUUAAUAAAGUAUCUCUAACUCUAUUUGCUCCGUCGGUAGGCAUAUCAUCUAUAUCACUUAAAUUUUUUUGAAAUAUGCCUUUUCAUGUGAACUAAAAUGCAAACGAAUAUUAUGCAAUGCGCAGCAUAAUUUAAAAAUAUAUACCUUAUUUACUACAAAGACAACGAAAUACCGAUUUUAAUAAACCUAUGGUUUUCUUAAUAACAAUUCGACCUUUAGUGUGUUGAAUCUCCUUUUUCGGACGCAUGUUAUUUGUUCCCUAAACGGAGUUAUGAGCCACGGUUGAAGAUGGUAGCCUUUGUCACCUUUACAAAAUAUAUAUUCGAUUAGUACAUUCGUAUAAAUUGAUAGUAUUUUUUAGCUAAUUAUUCUUAGCAAGUAUUAAAUAUGCAUAUCUUCUGCCAGGAUAUUUAACACAUGCGUAUCGUAUUUGCAUCUUGUGGUCGCACAUCUUUAUAUGAAAAACAUAUAUGUAUAUGUAUAUAAAGAAUACUGAGUGAAGUUAUUUUUGAAAAAGUCUCACCACCAUAACAUUCCGACUUAAGAAUCCUUUGCCGUUAAAAUACAGAGGCUUAUCUCUUAACGGCGCCAUUAUCUUUACGUAACAACUGCCAUUGCCGCAGCAAGAUUUGCCAAAAAAAUAUGUUUUUGCUUCUAAUUCCUCGCUGGCGGUCAUGUCAAUGGAAAUCCAUCUUGAGCAUAGCCUGUACUCAGGAAUUUUGAGUACUUCAUCUAAUAGAACACAAAAUAUAUUAAAGUCCUUUCCAAUACAUUUUUGAUAUGAAUCAACUUCUGUCAAUUACUGCAAUAUAUUGCCCGCCGGGGUACAAAAUCCUCGUUGAAGAAUAUAAAGAACCUUUCAAUAUGCACCCAUACAAAUUUAUUAUGAGAGGCGACUUUAAUGCGAAGCAUGUUUACUGGGGAUCUUGUCUAACGACAGCUAAAGGCCGAGACUUUUUCCAGGCAGCUCAAGAAACGCGGUGUGAGUUUGUAUCGACCGGAACACCGACUUACUGGCCAACGGAUACCAAAAAAAUACCAGAUGUAAUAGACUUCUUUAUAUCCAGGAAGAUAUCUCGAAAUUUCAUCGAAACAGAAGGUUUAAAACUAAGUGAAACAGUUAUUAAGAGAGACUUUAUUCAAACAAAUACUUUAGACUAAAAAAAGUGUCCAUAAAUCACAAAAAUUGGACAACUAGAGUUAGAAGUUGACACAUUUACGAAAGAAAUUCAACAAGCAGCUUGGGAUACUACUUCGGUGAUAUAGCGGAAAAUUAAAUGUUAAAAUUAAAAGAAAUAAAAAUCUUCCUAAAUAUGAAAACAAAGUUACGAUGGAAAUGCCGACAAACAAGCUCACCACUCCAAAAAAAUUAAACAUGAGUUCCUCAGCGAAGUAUCUUAGGUCCACUUUUAUAUAUUCUAUAUACAAGAGUCCUACCGUUAGUACCAACCAGUAUGACUAUCACUACGCGUCGAAAAACAGCUGGAACGGCUGGCUGAAUUUGCAACAUGCAAUUAACUCUGUAGUAAGUUGGACAUAAAAAUGGAGAAUAAAACUAAACGGUGAAAAAUUGGUUUAUGUAAAUUUUACAAACAAAAUACCUAUUAUAGAUGCCUGCAUACGUUACCUGUCUAUACACAACAAAGUAUGGUAUUUCUUUAUAAACAAAUAAUCAAGUCGGUAUGGUCAUAUGGUGCACAACUGUGGGCAUGUGCCAAUGAUAGCAGUGUUAAUAUUAUACAACAUUUUCAAAAAAGCAUAAAUGCUUAUGUUCAUCGAGACCUGAAUACAUUUGCCGAAGAAAUAAAGAGUCAGGCGGAUGCCCACUACAAAAGGCUUAAUGCACAUGUGAACGAGGAGGCGAGAAAUCUCGUUUUAGACACAUGCCUCUCUAGACAACUAUGUCGAAAAACACCAUAUAGUUCAGUUGGAAGCUAAAACAUAUACAUAUAUGAAAUUUAUCAUUAAUGUCUAAAUAAUUUUUUUGUAAGUUAUACAAAUCAAAGUGCUCGUUAGUAUUGAAAACUAGCUGUAGUGAUAUCAAACAUUGUUAUAGUUUUAAAUGUUUGUAACAGAAAAAAAUUGGACCACUGCACAAAGAUGGACAAAUAGCAAUAUCUAAAUACAUUGAAGGACCAUCUUCCUAAUUUCAUUACAAGUCUUGGAAAAUCUUGUUGAGAGUAUGCCAAAACGUAUGAAAAGCGUAAAAUAUUUAUAUUACUUGUAUAAUAAAAUUCAAUUUAACAUUCUUAUUUGCAGAUAAGAAAAUUAAAAUAUCAAAGGUGCAUAAAUGAGUACUACGAGUUGUUUUGGUUUUAAUUUUUUAUAUUUUUCUUUGUGCACCUAAUCGUUGAUCUUUUAUUGUAAAUUUAUAGUAAAUUAUAUAUUGAAUAAGGAAAAUAAACAUUUCUACCAUUUGCUUUACUGUUUUCUUUCUCAUUCUCUCCAA